rnacentral:rRNA from 1 species
UACUAGAGUAGCACUCGCAUAUCAAUAAGCGGAGGAAAAGAAACUAACAAGGAUUCCCCUAGUAACGGCGAGUGAAGCGGGAAGAGCUCAAAUUUGAAAUCUUAAAGGGUUUCCCUUUACGAAUUGUAGUUUAAAGAAGUGUUUUCUGUUGAGGUUUUGGUAAAAGUUCUUUGGAAUAGGACAUCAUAGAGGGUGAGAAUCCCGUAUAUUGACCUUUACUUUCAACUUUGUGAUACACUUUCAAAGAGUCGGAUUGUUUGGGAAUGCAGUCCAAAAUGGGUGGUAAAUUUCAUCUAAAGCUAAAUAUUGGCGAGAGACCGAUAGCGAACAAGUACCGUGAGGGAAAGAUGAAAAGAACUUUGAAAAGAGAGUUAAACAGUACGUGAAAUUGUCAAAAGGGAAGCGUUUGACACCAGUGUUGUUUUUCUGAAAAUCAAUUAAAGAACUGUUUAUGCUAAGUUGUUUAGACUUUAUCAGCUAACUGUUUAGUUUUGAGCUUUUCUUUAAUGCACUUUUCAGUUAACAAGUCAACAUCAAUUUCUUUUGCUGUAAAAAAGCUUGAGGAAGGUGGCUUGAGAUUCGUCUUAAGUGUUUAUAGCCUCUUGCCUAUGCAGUCGGAGAGAUUGAGGUCUGCAGCGUAGAUCCUUCGGGGCUAAAUGCAUUUGUGCUAAGUUAUAGCAUUUUAUAGACAACUUGUUGACUAUGAUUUGUCUUGUAGCUUACUCGCUUAUGUUAUUUUACCUACGCUUAGGAUGUUGAUCUCUCACAGUCGAGC